rnacentral:rRNA from 1 species
GUACUGUGCGAACGUUGUUCGGAAUUACUGGGCUUAAAGGGUGCGUAGGCGGUCAGUCAAGUCGGGUGUGAAAUCCCUCGGGCUCAACCGAGGAACUGCGCCCGAAACUAAUUGGCUUGAGUGAGAUAGGGGUGUGCGGAACUUCCAGUGGAGCGGUGAAAUGUGUUGAUAUUGGAAGGAACACCGAUGGCGAAAGCGGCACACUGGGUCUCAACUGACGCUGAGGCACGAAAGCCAGGGGAGCGAACGGGAUUAGAUACCCCGGUAGUCCUGGCUGUAAACGUUGAGCACUAGACGGGAGGAGCUUCGGUUCAUCCGGUCGUAGCGAAAGCGAUAAGUGCUCCGCCUGGGGAGUAUGGUCGCAAAGGCUG